GCUUAAAUAUGUAGAUCGAACU
rnacentral:miRNA from 1 species